GAUGAACGCUGGCGGCGUGCCUAAUACAUGCAAGUCGAACGCUUCUCAUAUGGGAAGAGUGGCGAACGGGUGAGUAAUACAUAAGUAACCUGGCCUUUACAGGGGGAUAACUAUUGGAAACGAUAGCUAAGACCGCAUAGGUGUGCAGAUCGCAUGAAGUGCACAUGAAAUAUGCUACGGCAUAGGUAGAGGAUGGACUUAUGGCGCAUUAGCUAGUUGGAGGGGUAACGGCCCACCAAGGCGACGAUGCGUAGCCGACCUGAGAGGGUGACCGGGCACACUGGGACUGGGACAGGGGCCAGACGCCUACGGGAGGCAGCAGUAGGGAAUUUUAGGCAAUGGGGGAAACCCUGACCGAGCAGCACCGCGUGAAGGAAGAAGUAAUUCGUUAUGUAAACUUCUGUCAUAGUGGAAGAACGGUGCGUGUAGGGAAUGACAUGCAAGUGACGGUACUCUAUAAGAAAGCCACGGCUAACUACGUGCCAGCAGCCGCCGUAA
rnacentral:rRNA from 1 species